rnacentral:lncRNA from 10 species
CAGCAUAAUAUUUUAACUUUCUGACUAGAAGACACAAUGAGACUAUGCCAUAAAUAAAUGGUUGUGUUUAAGUGUUAUUUUCAUUAUGCUACAGUGAACUUUGUGUGUGAUUAUUCUUUCUCAUUUUUUAGGCCUGCACUAUGUACUGCUAAGUCAAUUUGUGGAUUUAAGUAGCAGGUCAAUUCUAUCAAAUGCUGCUGGGUCACUGAAUAAAUUGAGGACAAUGGCAACAGGAAAGCUACCUCUGACCUUGACAAAGCAAUUUCAAUGGAGUAGGGUCCAUGAGCAGACGAGCAGAUGAACAGAUGUACAGAAGAGCAGAGAGGCAGAGAAGCAGCUCAGCAGAGAAGGAGAGAAGAGAAGAGUCUGAACGUCGAGAGGAGUUCAGCUGGAGACAGUCAGAGAGGAGGUCAGCUGUGGAACAGCCAAACUCCAGAGGAAGAUCAUCUUCCCACUCCAUCCCCUUUCCAGUUCCCCACCCGUCCCAUUAAGAGCCAACUCCAUCAUCCAAUAAAAUCCCCAUAUUCACUAUCCUUCAAGUCCAUGUGUGAUACCAAGAGGGCACUGGU